GCGCUAGCAAGGUUGACCACU
rnacentral:miRNA from 1 species